rnacentral:rRNA from 1 species
CCUACGGGAGGCAGCAGUGGGGAAUAUUGCGCAAUGGGCGAAAGCCUGACGCAGCGACGCCGCGUGAGGGAUGAAGGUCUUCGGAUCGUAAACCUCUGUCAGCAGGGAAGAACGGUCACUGUGCUAAUCAGCAGUGAAUUGACGGUACCUGCAAAGGAAGCACCGGCUAACUCCGUGCCAGCAGCCGCGGUAAUACGGAGGGUGCGAGCGUUAAUCGGAGUUACUGGGCGUAAAGCGCUCGUAGGCGGUAUGUCAAGUCAAGGGUGAAAGCCCCGCGCUCAACGUGGGAACUGCCUUUGAAACUGGCAAACUGGAGUGUGUGAGAGGAUAGUGGAAUUCCAGGUGUAGGAGUGAAAUCCGUAGAUAUCUGGAGGAACAUCAGUGGCGAAGGCGACUAUCUGGCACAUAACUGACGCUGAGGAGCGAAAGCGUGGGUAGCAAACAGGAUUAGAUACCCGAGUAGUC